rnacentral:lncRNA from 1 species
GCAAAGUCAUGUUAGAUGUUAGUAGUUAGUUCCCCAUCCACUCCAAGAACCACCUUAUCUCUCCAUUCACCAAAUCCACCUUAUAUCACCAAUCUCCAAUUCGCUCCCAAGAGGGAUCGAACCCGGGUCACUUCACUUAAGUGAGGACCUGGUGGCCAGUGGGCUAAGCCCCCUGGUUCUGGUAUAUACAUUCUAAUAAGAUAUUCUAAAAAGAUUUAAAGUA